CCUACGGGUGGCAGCAGUGGGGAAUAUUGGACAAUGGGGGCAACCCUGAUCCAGCCAUGCCGCGUGUGUGAAGAAGGCCCUCGGGUUGUAAAGCACUUUCAGUGAGGAAGAACGCCUGGUGGUUAAUACCCAUCAGGAAAGACAUCACUCACAGAAGAAGCACCGGCUAACUCCGUGCCAGCAGCCGCGGUAAUACGGAGGGUGCGAGCGUUAAUCGGAAUUACUGGGCGUAAAGCGCGCGUAGGUGGCUUGAUAAGCCGGUUGUGAAAGCCCCGGGCUCAACCUGGGAACGGCAUCCGGAACUGUCAAGCUAGAGUGCAGGAGAGGAAGGUAGAAUUCCCGGUGUAGCGGUGAAAUGCGUAGAGAUCGGGAGGAAUACCAGUGGUGAAGGCGGCCUUCUGGACUGACACUGACACUGAGGUGCGAAAGCGUGGGUAGCAAACAGGAUUAGAUACCCCAGUAGUC
rnacentral:rRNA from 1 species